UCAGUAUAAGCAAACUGGAGAUUGCAACGUCCUCAGCAAAGCGCCUGACUCACAUGGAGGAGUUUUUCCACACAAAAAGUAAUGGUUUCAUGCCCCAGGAUGUGAAAUGUGGACAGAAAAAUUUUAUCCAGAAGGUCAACAACUUUUAACUUUCAGCAGUUCACAUUCAAGCCGCUUUCCCAGGAAGUUCAGCUCCUGCCGCGCCAGGGCGGCUGCAGCCUUCACAGCACCAGGGCUUGGCUCUGCACGACGGGGGCUGCCGUGGCUGCCUCUGUCUGGAGCCCAGCCUCGCCCCCGUGAGUGGUGCUGGUGCUGGUGCAGGGCUGGGUGGGCGGCUGUAGGGGGACAGCCUCGGGUCUGGGUCCUGGCUGCCCAUGGUGCCAGGCAUGGCUUGGCCAGGGCAGCUCAAGCACCGCCGCUGCGCCGACAGCGCUGCAGUAAGGCUGUAACAUUAUCACCAGCAAAUGGCCCUCAGUGUGUUACUUAUAGGAAACAGAAAAAACAAACAAACCCUGAAUAAUAGCCCAAACAUCUUUUGUGGGACUUACAGCUUUCUAACUUUAUUUAAAAAAAGAAGGAAAAAAGUAAAUUUUCCCUGUCGGAGAAUUGCUAUCAUCACGCAAUGGCACUUAGGAAUAUUAUAAACAACUGUGUCAGUUUAUAAGGCUAAAGACAUUUUUUCUGGGGCUCACACAAGCUUUCCUUUCCACAGCAGAUCAUCGUCACCGGGGGUUGCGAAGCCUGGUGGAUGGCACGUCCGCGGGCCCCGCUGGGCGCAGGGUCGCGUUCCAUCCGCUGACAGCCCUUCAUGCUGUGACCUGCAACCCCUCACCUGGCAGCCGGAGUGUGUAAGGCGCACCCUGCACCCUCGCUGUAGCUGCAGAAGAUUUAUAAGAGCGGUACGUGACUGACAGAUAAGGGACUCCCACAGAGCGAAGACGAGAGCGAGGGAACCAGAAAGCUGUAUGUUUGGACUUGAUUCAAGGAAUUCGGAGCCCCUCUUGUUCAGGCAGGUUUGAAUAGAAAAUUUGCCAAAUCAACCUAACACCAUAAAAACGUUUCUUGAGAAAAGGCUGGGGCAGAGCUGGGUUUUAAAAAAAACCCGCUACCCAAAGCUCUGUGUCCCACCCUGGUAUUUAUGACAUGCACAUGGAUGCUGUUGAUAGCAAAGAUGUUUUUGUAAGUCAAUAAAAUGGAAAAAGAGAUUCCA